rnacentral:misc_RNA from 1 species
CUCACACAGAUCUGACACACCACUGCCGCUGUGCAUGCAUAUGAUUAACUCAUUCUUUUUCUUCUUCUUAUCUAUCUGCCUUUACCCUUCUUGGCUCAGCUUUCACAACCAAGUAGAAUGAAACCAAAUCCAUGGAAUAACCAUGCAUUAACUAUCUAGCCUCCUUUUCCUUUUCUUGAAAAAUUUCCAUGGUUGCAUUCUUGAAGUGCUGGAAAUAUAUACUAACUUAUCAAGAAACUCUUUCAUACAUGUGAGGCUCAGAAGGUGACAUUUUGGGAUAAAAUUUCAAGACUUUCUACAGGGAAAAAGCAACCUCUUCAAAAGAAACACAACAACCCUUUAUUUGCAGACCAAUUUCAAGAUCUUAGUACACUUCAACUGGCAAAAGAGAACAACCCACUAAGCAAAGCAUAGAACAAAUUCACCGGCCAGGAUUCCAAGAAAAUAGAUUCCCAAGCUGCAAAAAUUGAAAACUUUCAAGGAAAACCCAUGAACCAACCAAAAAGGAAGAGGCACAUACCUAAUCCAAGGAACUCUGGAUUUUCAAGAUUUUUGGCCAGAUCUUGAAAGAACGUCACCCACUAUGAAAUAAUAUAUGAACCAAACCAAACCACUCGUUUUUUAGAUUAUAUUGCUUUAAAAACCAAC